AUUGAACGCUGGCGGCAGGCCUAACACAUGCAAGUCGAACGGUAACAGGAAGCAGCUUGCUGCUUCGCUGACGAGUGGCGGACGGGUGAGUAAUGUCUGGGAAACUGCCUGAUGGAGGGGGAUAACUACUAGAAACGGUAGCUAAUACCGCAUAAUGUCGCAAGACCAAAGAGGGGGACCUUCGGGCCUCCUGCCAUCCGAUGUGCCCAGAUGGGAUUAGCUUGUUGGGGGGGUAACGGCUCACCAAGGCGACGCUCCCUAGCUGGUCUGAGAGGAUGACCAGCCACACUGGAACUGAGACACGGCCCAGACUCCUACGGGAGGCAGCAGUGGGGAAUAUUGCACAAUGGGCGCAAGCCUGAUGCAGCCAUGCCGCGUGUAUGAAGAAGGCCUUCGGGUUGUAAAGUACUUUCAGCGGGGAGGAAGGGAGUAAAGUUAAUACCUUUGCUCAUUGACGUUACCCGCAGAAGAAGCACCGGCUAACUCCGUGCCAGCCGCCGCAGUAA
rnacentral:rRNA from 1 species